UUCAGACUUGUGCUCAUCCGCAGCAUUGCAAGGCACUGCCUGCAGUGAUUUCACCACAACACACUCUGCAGGGUAAGCAGAGUCCAUCUCCUUCACCAUGGGAGGUGAGGAAGGCUGCCAGAUCAGAG